UGGAAGAUAGAUACGCGAGAUGCAAGAGUCUAGGCUUUUCGUCAUAAAUUCUUCCUACAAAGAAAUUGCUUUCUGAUGACUGUAAUUUGUGAAGUUUUAAUUUACAGACAGAUACGGGGCAUACAAAA